ACAACCAGAACAGCAAAUAAACAGUGGAUGAGUGUGUGUGUGAAGUGAAACAACAUUCAAACAGUGGAUGAGUGUGUGUGUGAAGUGAAACAACAUUCAAACAGUGGAUGAGUGUGUGUGUGAAGUGAAACAACAUUCCUUACACAAGGAAACACAAACUAGUGACAGCUAGAAACAGCUACAUGUCUCAACAACCUGUUCAUCUAUUUGUCCUUUGAACUCCUCCAGGGACACCAGGUCCUGUCGUUUUAGGUUGGCUUGGAUUGCAACACCAGAGGAACCACCUUUUUCCAUGCUUGGUUCUAAUUCGGUACUGUUAGCAUAAAACAAGAUUGAGAUCUGAGUUGUAUGUGUUUCUCAUUUCGAGCUGGAAGAGAGGAUAGAUAAAAGUCAGUUUUCCUGAAAUGGUCUUCAGAAUAAGAAUGUGCCAGUGUUUGUGUUGCCAGUGAUGUCCACCCGACAACACUAGGGAUCACAAUGGUGAGUUGGACGUCUCUGAUUGGUGACAAAACGAAGGGCUGCAUGACACAGAGUCAAGAGCCUUCAGUGUGGAGCGUGAAGCUUGCUCAUAAAUAGUAUCACCAUAGUCCAACACAGAGACAAAAGUGCAACGAAUCAACUCCUUUCUGGCAGCAAAGGAAAAACAAGCUUUGUGUCGGUAGUAAAACCCCAAACGCAGCUUGAGUUUCCUGACAAGGUUCUCGACAUGAGUGGUGAAGAUCACAUUCUCAUCCACCCAAACUCCCAGAUAUUUGGAUGUUUCCAAGGUAUUAAUUACAAGGGUUUCAGUGUUUAUUAUUGGAGGGUUUCCAAGGGUUUCAGUGUUUAUUAUUGGAAAAUUCCGUACAGGUUUUAGAGGAAUUCAGAACAAGCUUCAAAUCGAACAGAUUCUGUUGAAUGAUGUUAAAACAGGUUUGAGCUUUUUCAAAAGCCAAAGUCAAACUGCUGCCACUUGACUAAGGAACAGUGUCAUCCGCAUAAAAACGUACAUCAGCUGCCUCAAUAUUUCUCCCAAUUUAAUUGAACUACAGACAAACAACAGGGGACCUAAAACACAUCCUUGAGGCACAACUCUACGGCACAGAGCGCAGAAGAAGUACAGUGCAUUCGGGAAGUAUUCAGACCCCUUCUCUUUUUCCACAUCUUGUUACAUUACAGCCUUGUUCUAAAAUGGAUUUAAAAAAUAAAAAUCCCCAUCAAUCUACACACAAUACCCCAUACAAUACCCCAUACAAUACCCCAUACAAUACCCCAUACUUGGUCACUGUUAAAACUGUAACUUAAAGCGGGUACAGCCUCAGUGUUCACAGUAAACACGCGCUGGAAGUUGCACAGAACUUUCCCAACUUUCAAGUUUGCCAGCCGCAACUUCCAGUGCGUGUUUAGCUCAAUCAUUGUUCGACACAACCACCCAAAAAGGGCAAGGUACAUGUUAGGCGUUUUAACUUGAAACAAAACUCUACUAAGUCACACCAUUGAUGUCAUUGUCACUAUGCUGUCAUUCAUUGAUUGAGUGUAUGACAUUUGGACGCCGUAGGCCUGUGUCAGCCCAGCCCAAAGGCAGUAAAAACUGGGCAAGGCUCGUGAGUUAUCCUGUGACAGUGGGGGAUCCACCCUGCUGAUACAACAGCUCCUCACAUCACCACUACUGUGUGUGCACCUAGUCCUUCUUCCUUGAAGGUGUGUUUCAGUAGCAAUCAGACACAAACAUGGACGCAGAAAGACAUUGGGUUUACAUGUAUGUAUUUGUUCAUCUUGACUACUUUAUGGAAAUCAGAGACAUACUGUAUGUGCCAGAAAUCAUCUUGCAUAAAAACACCAUCUCUGAUGAAUGAUUAUGCUAGAAUGGUAUCAUACAUUAGAUUUUGCAGUAUUUACUAUGGUGACUGACUUGAUUUGUGGUAGCUGACUGAAUGUAGGUUACAUUUGUUAAUCACUUAUUAAAUACACAUAAUUAUAUCAUAAUGCCAACUUACAUUCUGUAGAAACAGCUUAUCUAUAGUAAAUAGAAACUACGGGGAAGGAAAUAUUCUCCCAAAAUAGAUUUGUCACAAAAUGUGCAUUAUAUACAUAUGCAUAUAAAUCCAUGCUGAGACAUGUGCUUCAGAAACAAUACAACGCAACCCAUUUCAACGUCCUUCAACCCUCACAAAAACCGUACUGUAGAGACUCAGCCAGUCUCUUCUGGUAAAAACAUCUUCCAAUGACCAUCCAUUGGUUCCAAUCCCCCCCCCACUACAUUCCAAAGCUCCAAUUUACAGUUCAGUUCCAAAGUUCUGAUAUGACAUUAAAAUGGUUCCAACAGUCCAGAGAUCCAACUCCCAAAACCUCUGUUUCUCCAGUGCAUUUUCAGAUAUUCUACUUCCCUGGUUGUCUGUUUCCAAUUCUUCAUUCCAAUGAUCUGGUUUCUUCCUGUCCGUCCCCUGAGCUUUCAGCAGUAGAUCCGGGCCUAUAUUCAUAGACCGUCUCAUAAUAGGAGUACUGAUCUAGGGUCACGUCCCCCAUUGUCUAUGCAAUCUUGUUCAUAAUGCUCUAAAAGGACAAACUGACACAAGGCCUGUCUUAGUCCUCCUCCCCUCCAUGGCCGUUCAUGACCUGGCCGGACUCCCAGCGCUGCAGGAGAGGAGUCUUCUGUCUGGGGGUCCGUGGGCUCUGGAGGCCCUGGAAAAAAAGAGAAGGUGAAAAAGAGAGUGAGUAGAAAGAGAGAGAGAGGGAGACAAGUGUGUGUGUGAGAGAGAGAGAGAAAGAGAUAAGAGAUAAAUAUGAGAGAAGCAGACAACGCGAAAGAGAGUAGAAAGUGAAAAGAGAAAAAAAGAGAAGGGGACAUCGAGAAAGAGAAAGAGUAGAGGAGAUUUAUAAUGACAGGGAAUAGAGAGUAGAGGGAGUUAUAAUAGAGAGUAGAGGGAGUUAUAAUAGAGAGUAGAGGGAGUUAUAAUAGAGGGAGUUAUAAUAGAGAGUAGAGGGAGUUAUAAUAGAGAGUAGAGGGAGUUAUAAUAGAGAGUAGAGGGAGUUAUAAUAGAGAGU
ensembl:lncRNA